rnacentral:rRNA from 1 species
UCUUGGUCAUUUAGAGGAAGUAAAAGUCGUAACAAGGUUUCCGUAGGUGAACCUGCGGAAGGAUCAUUACCUAGAGUUGUAGGCUUUGCCUGCUAUCUCUUACCCAUGUCUUUUGAGUACCUUACGUUUCCUCGGUGGGUUCGCCCACCGAUUGGACAAAUUUAAACCCUUUGCAGUUGAAAUCAGCGUCUGAAAAAACUUAAUAGUUACAACUUUCAACAACGGAUCUCUUGGUUCUGGCAUCGAUGAAGAACGCAGCGAAAUGCGAUAAGUAGUGUGAAUUGCAGAAUUCAGUGAAUCAUCGAAUCUUUGAACGCACAUUGCGCCCCUUGGUAUUCCAUGGGGCAUGCCUGUUCGAGCGUCAUUUGUACCUUCAAGCUCUGCUUGGUGUUGGGUGUUUGUCUCCUGUAGACUCGCCUCAAAACAAUUGGCAGCCGGCGUAUUGAUUUCGGAGCGCAGUACAUCUCGCGCUUUGCACUCAUAACGACGACAUCCAAAAGUACAUUUUUACACUCUUGACCUCGGAUCAGGUAGGGAUACCCGCUGAACUUAAGCAUAUCAAUAAGCGGAGGAAAUCACUCU